GCACUGAUGAAGAGUUCCAUGACAGGACGAAACGACCUUCCAGUGC
rnacentral:hammerhead_ribozyme from 1 species